AGAGUGGUUCAAGGGGAAGACAGUCUGCAGAAGAGUUCUCAAGUUUAUUAUGGAAACACUGCGGCGAUGUGUGCAGUAACAUCAUCUUACAGGAGGGAACCAGUUCUGUUCAAAACAACUCACCAGGUUUUCUGAUAGUAACGAAGAACAAUGCGGGGCUGAGAUUUGAGAAGGCGAGAACCUGAAUGCAGACAAACCAUACAAUUAAAUUAAUGGUAUCCCUGAGAGAAACACAACAAGAGGGGAGGCCUUGGUACUUAUUUAAAAAUGUUCAUUAAGCUCCAAUGAUUGUUUGCUAUUCUCAUCUACAGUCAUGCUGAGUAAGCUACAGCUAAGUGCUUGUGGGCCAUAGAGAAAUCAAGGCGGAAAUGAGCUGGAAGCUUUCUUCUGGAUAGUUCUGAUAGUACCUGUAUUUUACAGCCUCUGGGGAAAAGAAGCCAUCAAUAGUCUUACUUAGUUGUGAAUCCCAUGAGAUGUGAAUAUGACCUGCCAACUAAGAUGUGCUUCCUGGUUCCAUGGUGACACGGCUACUAUUGGAGUGACCAACCACUUUUUCAUUGGAUUUUAGAGCUGCUUCAUUGGUGGGAAACCCCACUGGGUACUGUAAAUCUGGUCAGGUUGUUUUGCUAAAUGGUCAUGUUGUCAAACUACCUUCUAAAUACUCAUGUUUAUACCCAUGCAGCAUGAUGGAACGUUAGGGGGUCUAAUCUCCUGUAGGUCUAUUACGUGGUAUCAUAGUGCCUGAAAGUUCAAGAGGGCAGCAGUCAUGUCAUUCCUGGAGGAUUGUGUUCCACAACAGGGUCUCUCAUGUGGUUGUAGUCAGAUGGUGGCUGGGGCUUUUGUCAUUUGACUACACUUCUGAAUUGGAUAUUUGUGCUGGCUCCCUUAAAGAGCUGGUGACUCUUGGUUGUUGGUUGGGAAUUCAGCUGGGUCUGUGGUCAGUUGGAGCAUCUAGAUGUAGCUUGAGAUUCUUGUAGUGUGUGUUUGUGUGUGUGUGAGAGAGAGGGGGGGGGGAGAGAGAGAGAGGGAAAGAGAGAGUAUAAAUGAGUAUGAAUGAAUGAAAAUUCAUGAAUUAGUAUUUUAAGAGACUAAAGAGAGGGGCUGCAAGGUCUCUUAUCACCCAGCCCCAGAAGGCACAGUGACUCCUCUCACUGCUACACUGUUAGGCAGAUCUGGUCGGGAUCUGCUGCUAGGGCAGAAUGCUCAAUGGUGCUAAUAUUGGGAAGUGUGGUUCCCUAGCGCUAGAUGUCAAUUUCACUUCCAUGGAAAAGGCUGCUUCAUAAAAGGAAAAAGCUAGCUUGUUUCCUUGCUUUCCCUUGCUUUCCUAGAAUGAAACUCUUCGCAUGUGCAUUUAGGCUUUGUGAGGUCAAAGUGACUCAGCCUGUGUCUAGGACGUUCUGGAAAGAUACCUUACAAAUAACUUGUGUCUGUCCGUGGUAAGCAUGACACUACCUUAGCUAGAAGUGGGUGCAGUGAUAAUCUCAGCCCUUCCCUGGAGGCAUCUGUGGGAUGCUUGACUUCCGGCUCACUGUU
rnacentral:lncRNA from 1 species